rnacentral:lncRNA from 1 species
CUUAUGAGGAACGGCUAAGGGAGCUGGGCAUGUUUAGCCUGGAGAAGAGGAGGUUAAGGGGUGAUAUGAUAGCCAUGUUCAAAUAUAUAAAAGGAUGUCACAUAGAGGAGGGAGAAAGGUUGUUUUCUGCUGCUCCAGAGAAGCGGACACGGAGCAAUGGAUCCAAACUACAAGAAAGAAGAUUCCACCUAAACAUUAGAAAGAACUUCCUGACAGUAAGAGCUGUUCGACAGUGGAAUUUGCUGCCAAGGAGUGUGGUGGAGUCUCCUUCUUUGGAGGUCUUUAAGCAGAGGCUUGACAACCAUAUAUCAGGAGUGCUCUGAUGGUGUUUCCUGCUUGGCAGGGGGUUGG